rnacentral:rRNA from 1 species
GGCGGCGUGCCUAAUACAUGCAAGUCGAGCGGACAGAUGGGAGCUUGCUCCCUGAUGUUAGCGGCGGACGGGUGAGUAACACGUGGGUAACCUGCCUGUAAGACUGGGAUAACUCCGGGAAACCGGGGCUAAUACCGGAUGCUUGUUUGAACCGCAUGGUUCAAACAUAAAAGGUGGCUUCGGCUACCACUUACAGAUGGACCCGCGGCGCAUUAGCUAGUUGGUGAGGUAAUGGCUCACCAAGGCAACGAUGCGUAGCCGACCUGAGAGGGUGAUCGGCCACACUGGGACUGAGACACGGCCCAGACUCCUACGGGAGGCAGCAGUAGGGAAUCUUCCGCAAUGGACGAAAGUCUGACGGAGCAACGCCGCGUGAGUGAUGAAGGUUUUCGGAUCGUAAAGCUCUGUUGUUAGGGAAGAACAAGUGCCGUUCAAAUAGGGCGGCACCUUGACGGUACCUAACCAGAAAGCCACGGGUAACUACGUGCCA